rnacentral:rRNA from 1 species
CCGCGGUAAUACGGGAGUGGCAAGCGUUAUCCGGAAUUAUUGGGCGUAAAGCGUCCGUAGGCGGCUUUUCAAGUCUGCUGUUAAAACGUGGAGCUUAACUCCAUCAAGGCAGUGGAAACUGAUUGGCUUGAGUGUGGUAGGGGCAGAGGGAAUUCCCGGUGUAGCGGUGAAAUGCGUAGAUAUCGGGAAGAACACCAGUGGCGAAGGCGCUCUGCUGGGCCAUAACUGACGCUCAUGGACGAAAGCCAGGGGAGCGAAAGGG